rnacentral:rRNA from 1 species
CUCGCAACACCCAAGUGCAAGGGCGGGAUGGGUUUCAGAGAUCCGCACAUGUUUAAUCUUGCUAUGCUGGGAAAGCACGGGUGGCGUUUUUUGACAAAUUCUAACUCCCUAUGUGCAAGAGUACUGAAGGGACGUUACUUCCCUGACACUGAUUUCAUGCAUGCCACUAUGCCUAAGUCGGCCUCGGCCACUUGGAAGGCGAUCAUGGCAGGGAGGCGACCCACACGGGCUUCCUAA